UGCCAUUUUAUCACCUGGAAAUAGGGACAGUUGCUGUUACUCAACGAAGGACUUAUCGCAGUAAACUAGUUGUGUCCUGAAAUAGACGCCAGGUCGCCAUUUUACUAUGGAUAUACCGAAAGUCCGCCAUAUUUUGAUUAUUUUCCGCAGAUGCAAGACCGCCAGAGAGCAAGGCGCGCUUAAUGGACUAUCCUGUGAGACAAUGUGCUGAAGGAGGAAUUUAUCACAAUGAACUGAUAAUCCAACAAAGUUGAAGGAAUUAGAGAUAAUUUUGAUGCUACUGGAAGAAUCGAUAAAUUUAACGUCUUCACCUUGCAACAUUAUGCAGUUAAUUUUUGCUGUAACAAUGAGGAGGCAAUCGGAAGUUAAUUUGGAAGCAACUGAAACAACAGUCUGAAGUUGUAUUUUGGUUUGCUCAUCACGCUGGUAGACUUUAAAACGUUACUUUCUACAAUUAAUUAAGAUUAUCCAACAAAUGAGAGAGGAUUAAACAUCAAUUUGGUCAUACUGAAACAGUGGAUGUCUGCAUGGGUGUUGCUUUUCGUGGACUGUAUUCUUCAUUGGCUGUUUUCGUCUUCGUCUUACAACAUUAUGCAGUUAAUUUUCAACCCAUGACUGAGAGCAACUGGAUAUUUAUUUGAAUUCCACUGAAAAAACAAAUUUUCUGCUGUGGUAUUCCUCCUGGAGUUGGUUUGCUUUUCACAUCUGCAAACUUUGGAACAUUACGGUCUACAGUUAAUUAAGAUCGACGUUGGAGAAGACAAAGAU
rnacentral:lncRNA from 1 species